UCCGUCCCGAGCCGCGUCAUCAUCCGCCAAUCCCCGCACGGCUCCGGAGCAGCUUGCACGGUUCGACUCGGCUCUGAGCCUGAACGCCAGCGCACCCACCAAUUAACAUCGCCGAGCGAUACACCGGCGACCUCCGCUGCCCCUUCCCGGCUUCCCCAGCCCGUCCCCCGUCGCUGUAGCCCAGCGACGGCCUUGCAGCGACCCAGCGGUGGCCCUUCCGCUCUCACGACAAGCACCCUCCCGAAUCGGCGGCACCAUAUGGAGCGGCCGGCCGGCGAUGGCGUCAGAUCCCGGCGGCAGGCAACGGAGAGACCCCGACCGGUCUGCGCAUGGGUUAUGCCGUCCUCACCGAUAGGGUGUCAAGCAGCUCCGGCUUCAAAUCAGAUGACACUCUGGCCACAUCCGCAGCUUCAAAUCGGAUGACACUCCCGUCCAUGGAGACGCUCCAAUCCACCUGCGGCGAUUUGCCAUCCAUCCCCAAGGCCAGUGGGCAGCCGUUGGCAUCCAUCCACCGUGGGCAUCGUCUAAAGCACUGCCGCCAUGACUUGCGCUAGGCUUCCCCACCAAUCCCAAUCCGUGCAUAGAGAAGAAUGGAUUGUGAGGUGAGCAUUCGUGCAAAUCUGUGUAUCCCAGUUCGUUAUUUUUGUAUGGGCCUUCCAAAUUUCUGAUUAAUCCAUGGAUGAGGAACGGGAGAUUUUUUCUACACUGUCAAUCCAAUUUUUAGUGCUAUUCCGUUGGUUUGAGGUUAGCAGCCACAAAAAUCUGCCUUGUUAAUUCAAAAAGAUAAAACUGGUAUGGUUGUUCUAUUCCUGGCACGGAUUGUUUUGUUGGAUUAUCUUACAAUCCUGUCAUUGUAGUAUGGUACAGAAAUUCGCCUUAUUAAUUCGAAGGACUUUGCGGGCCACAAGGGCAAUGUCCAGUGGGCGAGAUGAGUGCAUCAAGAUAAUGCCUCCUCCUGCAGAAUUCGACUGGGCGAGUAGAUGCAAUCAUUUAUUUCAGUGCUUUACUACAUUCCCAAUCGAGCUCAUUCAUCAUGCAAUAGGAACAGUAGGCCAAUUCAUCAUCAUCUGCACAUUUCUGAAAUUUAUACAAGUACGUUUUGCCUAAAAAUUAGUUCAUGCAUCAGCUUAACGCCUAUUUCUGCAAGUUUACACAACUCUACUGUAAGAGUAGAUGCAAUGAUUAAUUCAUUGUUUUACUACCUUUCCAAUAAAGCUGUGUAAUCCUGGAGUAAAUUUAAUAUAGGCGCAGUUCAUCAUCA